ACUGUUUAGUGACAGGCACAGAGCAAGCACCGAGCGCGGUGUCUGACACCUGUGAGGGGUGGCUCCAUGUUGCCAUCCUUCUGAGAACAGC